AUGCUGACUAUAUGCAAAAGGCCUUAUGGUGCUUGAAUCAGGAAGAAAAAAGAGCUAGUCAGUACCUGUAUCCUGACACUGGAGUUACGUUGCUACAGGUUGUCAAAUACAGAUUGCUGACAGAACCUGGUCUCAAAUUGGCUGAAAAGAAGCAAGCUGAAAAAAGUGGCUUUGCGACUGAGUUUCAGGACGUUCUGUCGAAAUGUGCCGACUUGAAUCUGGAAGGGA